rnacentral:rRNA from 1 species
GACGAACGCUGGCGGCGUGCUUAACACAUGCAAGUCGAACGGAAAGGCCCUGCUUUUGUGGGGUGCUCGAGUGGCGAACGGGUGAGUAACACGUGAGUAACCUGCCCUUGACUUUGGGAUAACUUCAGGAAACUGGGGCUAAUACCGGAUAGGAGCUCCUGCUGCAUGGUGGGGGUUGGAAAGUUUCGGCGGUUGGGGAUGGACUCGCGGCUUAUCAGCUUGUUGGUGGGGUAGUGGCUUACCAAGGCUUUGACGGGUAGCCGGCCUGAGAGGGUGACCGGCCACAUUGGGACUGAGAUACGGCCCAGACUCCUACGGGAGGCAGCAGUGGGGAAUAUUGCACAAUGGGCGGAAGCCUGAUGCAGCAACGCCGCGUGCGGGAUGACGGCCUUCGGGUUGUAAACCGCUUUCGCCUGUGACGAAGCGUGAGUGACGGUAAUGGGUAAAGAAGCACCGGCUAACUACGUGCCAGUAGCCGCGGUGAUACGUAGGGUGCGAGCGUUGUCCGGAUUUAUUGGGCGUAAAGGGCUCGUAGGUGGUUGAUCGCGUCGGAAGUGUAAUCUUGGGGCUUAACCCUGAGCGUGCUUUCGAUACGGGUUGACUUGAGGAAGGUAGGGGAGAAUGGAAUUCCUGGUGGAGCGGUGGAAUGCGCAGAUAUCAGGAGGAACACCAGUGGCGAAGGCGGUUCUCUGGGCCUUUCCUGACGCUGAGGAGCGAAAGCGUGGGGAGCGAACAGGCUUAGAUACCCUGGUAGUCCACGCUGUAAACGGUGGGUACUAGGUGUGGGGUCCAUUCCACGGGUUCCGUGCCGUAGCUAACGCUUUAAGUACCCCGCCUGGGGAGUACGGCCGCAAGGCUAAAACUCAAAGGAAUUGACGGGGCCCCGCACAAGCGGCGGAGCAUGCGGAUUAAUUCGAUGCAACGCGUAGAACCUUACCUGGGUUUGACAUGGAUCGGGAGUGCUCAGAGAUGGGUGUGCCUCUUUUGGGGUCGGUUCACAGGUGGUGCAUGGCUGUCGUCAGCUCGUGUCGUGAGAUGUUGGGUUAAGUCCCGCAACGAGCGCAACCCUUGUUCACUGUUGCCAGCACGUUAUGGUGGGGACUCAGUGGAGACCGCCGGGGUCAACUCGGAGGAAGGUGGGGAUGACGUCAAGUCAUCAUGCCCCUUAUGUCCAGGGCUUCACGCAUGCUACAAUGGCUGGUACAGAGAGUGGCGAGCCUGUGAGGGUGAGCGAAUCUCGGAAAGCCGGUCUCAGUUCGGAUUGGGGUCUGCAACUCGACCUCAUGAAGUCGGAGUCGCUGGUAAUCGCAGAUCAGCAACGCUGCGGUGAAUACGUUCCCGGG